GGUUAAGCGACUAAGCGUACACGGUGGAUGCCCUGGCAGUCAGAGGCGAUGAAGGGCGUGCUAAUCUGCGAUAAGCGCCGGUAAGGUGAUAUGAACCGUUAUAACCGGCGAUACCCGAAUGGGGAAACCCAGUGUGACUCGUCACACUAUCAUUAACUGAAUCCAUAGGUUAAUGAGGCGAACCGGGGGAACUGAAACAUCUAAGUACCCCGAGGAAAAGAAAUCAACCGAGAUUCCCCCAGUAGCGGCGAGCGAACGGGGAGGAGCCCAGAGCCUGAAUCAGCAUGUGUGUUAGUGGAAGCGUCUGGAAAGGCGCGCGAUACAGGGUGACAGCCCCGUACACAAAAGCGCAUGUGCUGUGAGCUCGAUGAGUAGGGCGGGACACGUGGUAUCCUGUCUGAAUAUGGGGGGACCAUCCUCCAAGGCUAAAUACUCCUGACUGACCGAUAGUGAACCAGUACCGUGAGGGAAAGGCGAAAAGAACCCCGGCGAGGGGAGUGAAAAAGAACCUGAAACCGUGUACGUACAAGCAGUGGGAGCACCCUUUGGGUGUGACUGCGUACCUUUUGUAUAAUGGGUCAGCGACUUAUAUUCUGUAGCAAGGUUAACCGAAUAGGGGAGCCGGAGGGAAACCGAGUCUUAACCGGGCGUUAAGUUGCAGGGUAUAGACCCGAAACCCGGUGAUCUAGCCAUGGGCAGGUUGAAGGUUGGGUAACACUAACUGGAGGACCGAACCGACUAAUGUUGAAAAAUUAGCGGAUGACCUGUGGCUGGGGGUGAAAGGCCAAUCAAACCGGGAGAUAGCUGGUUCUCCCCGAAAGCUAUUUAGGUAGCGCCUCGUGAAUUCAUCUCCGGGGGUAGAGCACUGUUUCGGCUAGGGGGCCAUCCCGGCUUACCAACCCGAUGCAAACUGCGAAUACCGGAGAAUGUUAUCACGGGAGACACACGGCGGGUGCUAACGUCCGUCGUGAAGAGGGAAACAACCCAGACCGCCAGCUAAGGUCCCAAAGUCAUGGUUAAGUGGGAAACGAUGUGGGAAGGCCCAGACAGCCAGGAUGUUGGCUUAGAAGCAGCCAUCAUUUAAAGAAAGCGUAAUAGCUCACUGGUCGAGUCGGCCUGCGCGGAAGAUGUAACGGGGCUAAACCAUGCACCGAAGCUGCGGCAGCGACACUGUGUGUUGUUGGGUAGGGGAGCGUUCUGUAAGCCUGUGAAGGUGUGUCGUGAGGC
rnacentral:rRNA from 1 species